AUUGAACGCUGGCGGCAUGCCUUACACAUGCAAGUCGAACGGUAACAGGUUAAGCUGACGAGUGGCGAACGGGUGAGUAAUAUAUCGGAACGUGCCCAGUCGUGGGGGAUAACGCAGCGAAAGCUGUGCUAAUACCGCAUACGAGCUAUGGAUGAAAGCGGGGGAUCGCAAGACCUCUCGCCAUUGGAGCGGCGCAUAUCAGAUUAGCUAGUUGGUGGGGUAAAGGCUCACCACGGCGACGAUCUGUCGCUGUUAUGAGAGGACGACCAGCCAUACUGGAACUGAGACACGGUCCAGACGCCUACGGGAGGCAGAAGUGGGGAAUUUUGGACAAUGGGCGCAAGCCUGAUCCAGCAAUGCCGCGUGCAGGACGAAGGCCUUCGGGUUGUAAACUGCUUUUGUACGGAACGAAACGGUUCUCUCUAAUACGGGGGGCUAAUGACGGUACCGUAAGAAUAAGCACCGGCUAACUACGUGCCAGCAGCCGCCGUAA
rnacentral:rRNA from 1 species